rnacentral:rRNA from 1 species
UACGUAGGGCGCAAGCGUUGUCCGGAUUCACUGGGUGUAAAGGGUGCGUAGGCGGGCGAGUAAGUCCGCGGUGCACUCUCCCAGCUCAACUGUGAAACUGCCGUUGCUACUGCUUUUCUUGAGUUCGGGAGAGGUUGAUGGAAUUCCAGGUGUAGCGGUGAAAUGCGUAGAUAUCUGGAAGAACACCAGUGGCGAAGGCGGUCAACUGGCCCGUAACUGACGCUGAGGCACGAAAGCGUGGGUAGCGAACAGG